GAUGAAGAACGUAGCGAAAUGCGAUAAGUAGUGUGAAUUGCAGAAUUCAGUGAAUCAUCGAAUCUUUGAACGCACAUUGCGCCCCUUGGUAUUCCAUGGGGCAUGCCUGUUCGAGCGUCAUUUGUACCUUCAAGCUUUGCUUGGUGUUGGGUGUUUGUCUCACCUUUGCGUGUAGACUCGCCUUAAAAUAAUUGGCAGCCGGCGUAUUGAUUUCGGAGCGCAGUACAUCUCGCGCUUUGCACUCAUAACGACAGCGUCCAAAAGUACAUUUUACACUCUUGACCUCGGAUCAGGUAGGGAUACCCGCUGAACUUAAGCAUAUCAAUAAGCGGAGGA
rnacentral:misc_RNA from 1 species